rnacentral:rRNA from 1 species
GUGCCAGCAGCCGCGGUAAUACGUAGGGUGCAAGCGUUAAUCGGAAUUACUGGGCGUAAAGCGUGCGCAGGCGGUUUUGUAAGACAGUGGUGAAAUCCCCGGGCUCAACCUGGGAACUGCCAUUGUGACUGCAAGGCUAGAGUGCGGCAGAGGGGGAUGGAAUUCCGCGUGUAGCAGUGAAAUGCGUAGAUAUGCGGAGGAACACCGAUGGCGAAGGCAAUCCCCUGGGCCUGCACUGACGCUCAUGCACGAAAGCGUGGGGAGCAAACAGGAU